GCUAGUGUGGCAUUACCUUCCUUCGGAGAAAGUAUUGAGUACCCCGGGGUAUGGUAUCCCGAGGUCAUCCUAGCCCUUGUUACGAGUGUACCUGAUUUUUUUUUUUUCUCAAGUCAACCAAAGAGUCUUCUCAGUACUGUUCAUAUUUUUGUAAACAAUAAUAAAAUCAACUAAAGCGGCCACCACAUCCAUGAUUGUCCCGAGUGUACCUGAAUUUUUUUUUCGUCAAGUCAACAAGGAGUCUUCUCAGUAUUGUUCAUAUUUUUGUAAACUGUAAUUAAACCAACUAAAACUCUUGUGUCAACGAGGACCUCCCUCUCUUCUAAUCCUUGCAGGAGGGUAAGAAGCCUCGUCCUUUCAGUUUAGUUUGCUCGAUCUCCAUUGUAGGUUGAGUUGUUCAAUUCGGAUUGGAGUUCUCUGUCAGAAACUUUGAUCAGUUGGUGGAAUGUUUUGUUUCUCAAGCUUCUAGCAAGUCCAAUUGCAGACACGAUCAGUACCCGUUUCAAGGUUGAGGCUUAGCAGUGUGGGACCACCAUCCAAACUCAUCUACUCUUACGGUCUUAUUCAGGGUAGAAGCUUUAUGUAUUAUUUUGAUUUCAAUUUUAUGUAUUUCCGACGUUGAACUUUCAGAUUUAUAUUUAGAAAUCCUUGACAUAGGAUUUCCAAGUUGUAUAAAGGAGUAUUGUAUUUAAUAGGAUGGAUAGAUAUUUUAAUA